UACAGAGGGUGCAAGCGUUGUUCGGAAUUACUGGGCGUAAAGCGUGCGUAGUCGGUAUUGAGAGUCGCGGGUGAAAUCCCAGGGCUUAACCCUGGAACUGCCUGCGAGACCUCAGUACUAGAGUGUGAGAGGGGAUAGUGGAAUACCCAGUGUAGCGGUGAAAUGCGUAGAGAUUGGGUGGAACACCGGUGGCGAAGGCGGCCCGCUGGGCAGUGGCUGACGCUGAGGCGCGACAGCGUGGGGAGCAAACAGG
rnacentral:rRNA from 1 species